GUCUGGGAUAGCUCAGCCGGUAGAGCAUGAGAAUCUUCAUCUCAAGGUCAUGGGUUCGAGCCCCCCCCCGGUUG